AGAGUUUGAUCCUGGCUCAGGAUGAACGCUAGCUACAGGCUUAACACAUGCAAGUCGAGGGGCAGCAUGGUCUUAGCUUGCUAAGGCCGAUGGCGACCGGCGCACGGGUGAGUAACACGUAUCCAACCUGCCGUCUACUCUUGGACAGCCUUCUGAAAGGAAGAUUAAUACAAGAUGGCAUCAUGAGUCCGCAUGUUCACAUGAUUAAAGGUAUUCCGGUAGACGAUGGGGAUGCGUUCCAUUAGAUAGUAGGCGGGGUAACGGCCCACCUAGUCUUCGAUGGAUAGGGGUUCUGAGAGGAAGGUCCCCCACAUUGGAACUGAGACACGGUCCAAACUCCUACGGGAGGCAGCAGUGAGGAAUAUUGGUCAAUGGGCGAGAGCCUGAACCAGCCAAGUAGCGUGAAGGAUGACUGCCCUAUGGGUUGUAAACUUCUUUUAUAAAGGAAUAAAGUCGGGUAUGGAUACCCGUUUGCAUGUACUUUAUGAAUAAGGAUCGGCUAACUCCGUGCCAGCAGCCGCGGUAAUACGGAGGAUCCGAGCGUUAUCCGGAUUUAUUGGGUUUAAAGGGAGCGUAGAUGGAUGUUUAAGUCAGUUGUGAAAGUUUGCGGCUCAACCGUAAAAUUGCAGUUGAUACUGGAUAUCUUGAGUGCAGUUGAGGCAGGCGGAAUUCGUGGUGUAGCGGUGAAAUGCUUAGAUAUCACGAAGAACUCCGAUUGCGAAGGCAGCCUGCUAAGCUGCAACUGACAUUGAGGCUCGAAAGUGUGGGUAUCAAACAGGAUUAGAUACCCUGGUAGUCCACACGGUAAACGAUGAAUACUCGCUGUUUGCGAUAUACGGCAAGCGGCCAAGCGAAAGCGUUAAGUAUUCCACCUGGGGAGUACGCCGGCAACGGUGAAACUCAAAGGAAUUGACGGGGGCCCGCACAAGCGGAGGAACAUGUGGUUUAA
rnacentral:rRNA from 1 species